UACGUAGGGUGCGAGCGUUGUCCGGAAUUAUUGGGCGUAAAGAGCUCGUAGGCGGUCUGUCGCGUCGGUCGUGAAAACUUGGGGCUUAACCCUGAGCUUGCGGUCGAUACGGGCAUGACUGGAGUUCGGCAAGGGAGACUGGAAUUCCUGGUGUAGCGGUGAAAUGCGCAGAUAUCAGGAGGAACACCGGUGGCGAAGGCGGGUCUCUGGGCCGAUACUGACGCUGAGGAGCGAAAGCAUGGGUAGCGAACAGG
rnacentral:rRNA from 1 species